rnacentral:rRNA from 1 species
ACUCCUGCGGGAGGCAGCAGUGGGGAAUUUUGGACAAUGGGCGCAAGCCUGAUCCAGCCAUGCCGCGUGCGGGAAGAAGGCCUUCGGGUUGUAAACCGCUUUUGUCAGGGAAGAAAAGGUUCUGGCUAAUACCUGGGACUCAUGACGGUACCUGAAGAAUAAGCACCGGCUAACUACGUGCCAGCAGCCGCGGUAAUACGUAGGGUGCAAGCGUUAAUCGGAAUUACUGGGCGUAAAGCGUGCGCAGGCGGUUAUGCAAGACAGAGGUGAAAUCCCCGGGCUCAACCUGGGAACUGCCUUUGUGACUGCAUGGCUAGAGUACGGUAGAGGGGGAUGGAAUUCCGCGUGUAGCAGUGAAAUGCGUAGAUAUGCGGAGGAACACCGAUGGCGAAGGCAAUCCCCUGGACCUGUACUGACGCUCAUGCACGAAAGCGUGGGGAGCAAACAGGAUUAGAAACCCGGGUAGUCCCAUG